rnacentral:rRNA from 1 species
AGUAAAAGUCGUAACAAGGUUUCNGUAGGUGAACNUGCGGAAGGAUCAUUACCGAAUCCGUUCAAAACCUUUACACACUGUGAACUCGGUCGCGCACCGUGCGCGCAUGUCUCCUUUCGGGGUUGCCUAUUGGCGGCAUUAAAUCGUGCUGCUCUAGCUCGUCUCUUCCGACAGAAGGAUUGAGCAAGAGCUUGUGCGGGCCCCGUCUGGAGUAUGCGUGUCGGUGCGUGGUUUUCUCACCGCACACCCUGCGUGUGCACCUUCGUUUUACUUAAACCAAGCAAAUUUGCAGACAGAACUGUGGGCUUUCUUUGGAAAGCUUGUCUAAUGAUGAAAUCAUUGACAACUUUCAACGGUCCAUCUCUUGGCUCGUGGAUCGAUGAAGAACGCAGCAAGACGCGAUAUGUAGUGUGAAUUGCAGAAUCAAGUGAAUCAUCGAAUCUGCGAACGCAAAUGGCGCUCCUGCCUAUUCCCAGGAGCAUGUCUGUCUCAGUGUCGUACUCACCUCGAACGCGCUUCGGCGCGGUGGUCUUGAGGCGUCUGAGAGACUGCCUUCGUCCGGUUCGAGCGUUCGAUCGCUCGUUCUCUGUCGAUUGCAGUGCCUUUCAGUCCCUUGAAAUGCAGUGGCCGAACGUUGUGCACAAGCAUGGCCUCGGGUCGGUUCGCCCCGGUUCUGCUCGCACGGCUGAUCAGUCCGUCGUGUUGCAGCUGCCGUCGGGUGCACUAGACAUCGUGCUGGCUCAAAUCGUUCGAAACAAGCCAUCUCUGGAUAACUCGAGCGCGUACGAACGUACAGCGCAACACCUCCGACCUGAGAUCAGGCAAGACUACCCGCUGANUUUAAGCAUAUUAAUAAGCGGA